UACGGAGGGGGCGAGCGUUGUCCGGAAUCAUUGGGCGUAAAGGGCGCGUAGGUGGCUUCUUAAGCGUGCGGUGAAAGCCUGGGGCUCAACCCCGGGUCGGCCGUGCGAACUGGGGGGCUGGAGCACUGUAGAGGCAGGCGGAAUUCCGGGUGUAGCGGUGGAAUGCGUAGAGAUCCGGAAGAACACCGGUGGCGAAGGCGGCCUGCUGGGCAACUGCUGACACUGAGGCGCGACAGCGUGGGGAGCAAACAGG
rnacentral:rRNA from 1 species